CCUACGGGUGGCAGCAGUAGGGAAUCUUCCACAAUGGGCGAAAGCCUGAUGGAGCAACGCCGCGUGGGUGAAGAAGUAUUUCGGUAUGUAAAGCUCUAUCAGCAGGGAAGAAAAUGACAGUACCUGACCAAGAAGCCCCGGCUAACUACGUGCCAGCAGCCGCGGUAAUACGUAGGGGGCAAGCGUUAUCCGGAAUUACUGGGUGUAAAGGGAGCGUAGACGGUUAAGUAAGUCUGGAGUGAAAGGCCGGGGCCCAACCCCGGGACUGCUCUGGAAACUAUUGAACUUGAGUGCAGGAGAGGUAAGCGGAAUUCCUAGUGUAGCGGUGAAAUGCGUAGAUAUUAGGAGGAACACCAGUGGCGAAGGCGGCUUACUGGACUGUAACUGACGUUGAGGCUCGAAAGCGUGGGGAGCAAACAGGAUUAGAUACCCCUGUAGUC
rnacentral:rRNA from 1 species